GGAUGAACGCUAGCUACAGGCUUAACACAUGCAAGUCGAGGGGUAACGGACAGCGAAAGCUUGCUUUUGCUGGGCGACGACCGGCGCACGGGUGAGUAACGCGUAUCCAACCUGCCCAUAACUAAGGGAUAAUCCGUAGAAAUGCGGUCUAAUACCUUAUGUGUUCCGACGAAGACAUCUGAAUUGGAAUAAAGAUUUAUCGGUUAUGGAUGGGGAUGCGUCUGAUUAGAUUGUUGGCGGGGCAAUGGCCCACCAAGUCUACGAUCAGUAGGGGUUCUGAGAGGAAGGUCCCCCACAUUGGAACUGAGACACGGUCCAAACUCCUACGGGAGGCAGCAGUGAGGAAUAUUGGUCAAUGGGCGAGAGCCUGAACCAGCCAAGUAGCGUGCAGGAUGACGGCCCUAUGGGUUGUAAACUGCUUUUGUACGAGGAUAAAGUGAGCUACGUGUAGUUCAUUGCAGGUAUCGUACGAAUAAGGACCGGCUAAUUCCGUGCC
rnacentral:rRNA from 1 species